rnacentral:rRNA from 1 species
UGGGGAAUAUUGGACAAUGGGGGCAGCCCUGAUCCAGCAAUGCCGCGUGUGUGAAGAAGGCCUGCGGGUUGUAAAGCACUUUCAGUAGAGAAGAAAAGCCUAAGGUUAAUAACCUUGAGUCUUGACGUAACCUACAGAAGAAGCACCGGCUAACUCCGUGCCAGCAGCCGCGGUAAUACAGAGGGUGCGAGCGUUAAUCGGAAUUACUGGGCGUAAAGCGCACGUAGGUGGCGACGUAAGUCGGGUGUGAAAGCCCCGGGCUCAACCUGGGAACCGCAUUCGAGACUGUGUUGCUGGAGUACGGAAGAGGAGGGCGGAAUUCCCGGUGUAGCGGUGGAAUGCGUAGAGAUCGGGAGGAACAUCGGUGGCGAAGGCGGCCAGCUGGGCCGUUGCUGACGCUGAGGCGCGAAAGCGUGGGGAGCAAACAGGAUUAGAUACCCGGGUAGUCCCUGAGCGGGCUGGCAAGGCGCAU